UGUGUCUGUGUCUGUGUCUGUGUCUGUGUCUGUGUGUCCGUGUCCGUGUCCGUGUGUGUGUGAGAUUAUCUGUUGAUUAUGAGUAGGGCUUCUCUCUUGUGUACUGCUUUUCUUUACCUCCACACCUGGCAGUUUUUGGUCAUGUGAUCGACAACCUUGGCCAGAACAAUGUGCUGCUGUUGAAUGCGUCAGAUUGAACGGCCUCUCACUCUGAGAUAGCACAGCAGAGUUUUAACGCUGUCUUCUUCGCAUACAUUAUUUCACAGUAAGGUCACGUUCUUUUAAAAUAAUAUUUCUUAUACUGUUUAGGUACCAAAAUGCAUUUAGGUAAUGGCUUAGGAGCAUUUUAUUUUCUGCGCCUUUGGGAUGCGUUCCUGCCAUGGCCUUACAUUCAAAGAAUGUCAGACCGCUAUAUCUGACAUCAUAUUAAGCCUUGCCAUUUGUAACCGGGCUCUCCCUGUGUUUAAUGGAUCAUUUGAGAUGGGGGCAAUAUAAGUGCUGUGGUAAGUCAUCUGAAUAAUGACUUGCAGGUUGUAUUAGUGAUGACCGUAGAGAAAUGCUAAUUCAACCAAAAACAUUCCUCAUUUAUCUUCCAUUCUGGUACAUAUAUUUAUCCAGUUAUUUAAUUGAAAUGUUCCAUUUUGUUUUGAACAAUGCUGAAUGUGUUGUGACCUAACAUGACUACACUCAAUGUUAACAUGCUACAUUACGUUUUUCUUAAGAUUUUUUUCACUACAUUAUUUAAAGUGAAUUGAGAAUGAACCCAAAUAAAGUGAAGGGAGCAGCAUGCUGCCUGAAUCAGUCACAAUAUCAUAAUCUUGUCCGGGGCGGUGCCUUGUUUGUUUGUCAAUAUGCAAUACAACGACUGUCGGCUUGAUGAAAAUGAAAUCACUUUUCCACUUUUCACCCAAAAUGUCAAGUUAAUAAGUUUGUUUUAAUUUUUUUUAAUUUUUUUUUGUGUUAAAUGGCUUGACUUAAUUUUUCUCAUCAUGCCUUUGUUAUACUUUGUAGAUCUCCCACUGUACUUGAUCUUGCAUAUAGAUAUGAGCACAUGCCUUUAUGGAAUGAUGUAUGUAUGAAUAAAGUGAUUCUAUGCAAUCUUGCCUCUGCUCAAAAUUAUUUCACAGACUGGGCCCUCUGUUAAAGCAGCAAUAAGGAGUUCUGUUCCAAAACUAGCACGGUAACUAACUAAAAGGUAUGCAAACACACAC
ensembl:lncRNA